UUUUCUAGCAUAGCAUACAUUUUUAUAAUAAAUUGGGAUUUUCUGAUGUGUCUAGGUAAGAUGCAUGUCUUUACAAAAGCUUUCGUAUCUUUAAUUGACAAUCCCCCAAAAUAGGAAAUACACUGUUGAGGUGUGACAUAAAUAUAGCUUUCAUGAUUAACAAUAUUUUCUUACAGAAAGCCUUUAGAACAGGCACUAGUACACGCUUGGAUGAUCGUUUAUAUGCGAUGUGCCAGAUAAAGAGUCAGCCUCUCGUUCACUUGAUGAAAAUGAUACAUCCCAACUUGUACAGAAUAGACAAGCUAACUGACGAGAGUACAAUACAUGUAAAUGACAGAGUUGUUCCUCAGCCUCCUCCUCAGAAAUUAUCUGCAGAGAAGUUGACAAGAGAAGGAGCUUUUCUUAUGGAUUGUGGUUCAAAAGGAGAGGCAGGUUCUCCGUGUGCCUUGUCUUCUGCCAGGAUGUUGACAAAGAACUCAGUGAUGAGAUUUUCAAGGGGCAGAGGUGGCUUUUUUGUGAGAUCAGUUCUGCCAUGCUUACAGUUGCUCACUGUGUCCCAGGCUGAAGCGACGAGCCCAGCGAACGAUUAAUUUGAGCUCUUUUUUCUGUGAACAUGCGUAGGGAGGCUAGGAAGAAGACAGUUUUCAGGCCUGCCAGUUACGUGCUCUGACCUUUUCCAUCCUUGGGUGACCCAUGUGUCCUGGCUCAUCCUGAAACUGCAUCCAGUGCAGAUCCUGUUUCUGCCUUGCCCAGAAGAAGGAAAGAUGAUGAACUUGAAGGGAGAGAUUGCCAACAGUGAAAGGAAAACACAGUACCACGAGUAAGUGCAUCUCGUCUGCCUUGGCCACGUGUUUGACAGGAGGAACUGAAUCAAGCAUCAGAGAUCCUUCGUGAGGAACUUUUGUGCGAGGUAACCGAACCCCAGGAUUAAACCCCACGUGGUACCUAUGUUAGAUGUGAGCUUUGUUUUAGUUCACACCUUCCUGCUUAGUCUUUUAUGCUGCUGGUUGUAUCCUGGAUUCUUGUUUGUGCAUUCUCCAAGGCUGUUUUUAAAUGAAUCCCAAGCUAUCCAGGCAUCACGGUGCCCAUGCUUGUGGCAUACAUUUUGGCAGCUUGCGCCUUGGUUUGGAGAAGUUUUGGAAGCUGUAGUGUUCUCCCUUUAAUAUCCAAAGCAGAAGCCUUGCUAAAGGUGCCACACAAGGAAGUUGUAAAGGUUCACAACAGGUGGGCUCCUGGGGCUUUGCCCGCGGUUGAGCUGGGAGGUGACGUGCUGCAGAAUGACUUAAAACUGCUGUGAGCUGAGAGAAGUCUGAUAAAAAUCUCAAGGAAAGAUUCCUGCCAGGAUCUAUGCCCAGGCACUGGCACCACAGCAGUAUCCUUUAUUUGCAGUCAAUCUGACUGCUACGGUUUCUCAGCUAGCUGCUCUCAAGGAAAAGUAGCUUCUUAUGAGACAAGUAAUACUGUUUAUUUAUUUUCCUCCUCCAAAGUUGUAACUAGGCCCAGUUCAGUAUGCAGACAGCUAAAUUUCUGCAAUGAGAGUUCCAUCACUUCUUUCCUCGUUGUAAUCUGUUAAUUGUGAGAGUGCUCUCUGCUAUUCUUUUUAUGGUCACUUUAAAUGAGAACAAUCUGUAUUGGAAGCCAUAAAGUCUGACACGCUGCAGCGUA